AAAAACUGAAGAAAUGCUGAAAAACUUAAAAAAAAGAUAAAAAAAACAAUAAAGAAAGACAGAGAAAAAAACUUGAGGCCUACUUGGAUCUACACCCGUCCCCUUCCGCCCCACAUUUCACAGAAGAAUAAAAAAAGAGCUGCUUUACUCCCGUCCCCUGCCGCCGCCGGCCGGCUGCCCCACCACACUCCCCGACGGAGCUCCGGCGGGGGAGUCGGCGCUCUAGACCGCCCCCCGCCCCCCGCCCCGGACACCCUCGCGCUCCCAUGGCGCCAACCGCUCUGCCGUGCCUGAGCAUUUUCUUUUCCCGCAGACGCCACCGCUGCCGUCCCCGUCUCCGGUAGCUCGCCGCCGCACCGAGAAAGGUAGAAGGAGCUGUAUCAUCAAGAAGAAGAACCAAAGGAGAGGUGGAAAUUCUUCUUAUAACCCAAAUCUGCUGCAAUUUGGAGGUCACAAACCCAAAUCUCUUUUUGUUAUAUUAAGUUACACACCCACACAACCUGUAGCGUCGCCCAUAGGCUUCUCUCUUCUCUCCUGCGACGCAAGGUUGAUUUUCCUCUCAAACAUUUACACAGAAGGAUUACAACAUGUUAAUUAGGAAGUUCAGGAACUCUGUUUCAAACAAAAGUUGUGCUGUGCUGUUUGUUGCUGGUUCAGAAAAGAUCAUAAACUGCCCUGUUUGUCAUCGUCGGUGGCGGUUCGCUCUGGUGAGCAGCAAGACGAGCAUCACGAGAAGGGAGCAGGGUACGAGUGAGGAAGGAGCAGCAGUAUCUUUGCUGCCGCUGCUGCUGCUGUUUCGCUUUCGUCCGUCUCAAGUGUCACAGAACUGGUCGCGUGCAGUACGCCAUGGCCGGGCUACCCUUUGCCCGGCAGGAUACGGUGGCCCGGCAAAGUGGAGGCCUGGUGAGGGUCCCUGCUGGGUGCAGAUACGGCAGGGGAAUGGACGCCGUGUCGACCUCCCAUCGACUUCUGACC